AGCUCCAGCUGGGUGCAGACAUGGAAUAGUAACAAGUCCAUGGGAAAGGCUCAUCUUCUCACAGCCCUUGCAGCAGCACUCUGAGCUCACUGUGAACUUCCCAGAGCACAGAGGCAGAGCUGAAACCUUCACCAAUGCUGCCAGGAACAUUCUGCAGGGAUUAAAGCAAUAGGGUGGAGAUGAAGUGUGUGUGAACCCAAACUGGACUCCAGACCAGAGACGAUUCAGGAGCAAAAGCAGAGAUACUCCUUCGAGUCCCCUUUUAUGUUUCAUCGCUGGUACCUCCUCUCACAAGAGACUUCCUUGGGUUUAUAAAUGACUGCAUUUCCCUUUGGCAUGACAGCUGCAGCUUCACCUCUUCUCGUGUGAACCUGGAGUCAG